CUCUCUGGGCUGUGAGGGCACAUGGCUGAGUGAUGUUGAGCCUCUUGUCAACCAGCAUCCCUAAGUCUUUUUCCUUGGCUUCAGUCAUGGCAGUGGGAGGAAGAGUGCUGGGUCUUGUGCAAGUUAUAAUCCUGAUUUUAGGGAAUAGGGAUCUUCCAUGGAACAUGUCCUCCAGAAACUUAGACAACCAGCCAGCACAUACUAGGAGGCAGUGAGAAGAACAAACCAGAAGGGAGGUCUGGAGUGCUCUUAACACAUCCCCUGCUCAAAGCAGGCUAAUUCCAAUGUCAGGUCCAGUUGUUCUGAGCCUUAUCAAUUUAUGUUUGUAGUAUCUCCAAGACCAGAGCCAGCCCUCUGGUACUUGUCUGCAUCGCUUCUGCAGGGAAGCAGCUUUCUUUUGCAUCCAAACAGCAGUUUUCUCUGUGCCAAGUCUUUGCCCAAAUUAUGGUAAACACAUGCCUUUCCCACAGCCGUCCUCUUCCUUGGACACUCAGGGACAGCAGCGAGAAGUGAGGUCACAAAGCACUGUGUGCCCGCUGGGAAGGAGUCUUGGGGCAGGGAGGCGUCUGUGACUCAGCAUGGGGAAGUAGCAAGGAAACCCAGUACGGGAGUGUGUAGUGGGGCUGGAGCUGAAACAGAAAAAGCACUUCUUGAAGCUGAAACCAGCCUCGUUUGCCCUCCUGCUGUGCCUGCCCACAAAGGGCUGGUAGGAGAGAUGGUGUCAAGGGCAGGGUUUUCUCACUGUCUCCCUCAGGCAGCAGUGUCACAGCACAGAAUGUUUGUCUUUGCUGCAAUUUGAGAGCAGGAGUCACCAGUGUGAAGGACUAGCAAGAACCACUCUGAGCUCUUCAUGUCCCAUUGCAACUGAGGCCAUACAGGGACCUGCAAAUUAUCAUUAGCACCAGCAGUGCAAACUCUGCCUUCUGCAUCCAUAGGAGUCAAGAGGGCAUAAAACUCUCAGGCAACUUACCAUGAGCCCUGGCCUCUGAUAAUCUGCUUUUAAUGAGAACAGUCAGGAGAAAGUCUGUCUGAAAAGGCAAGACUUUAUCCAUUCUGCACCCAACUAUAUUGGGCCCCUAGCCAGGGUAUGCACCCGGUGAAUAUCCUCAGCAUUCACUGUGGAGUGUUUGGGUGUAAGAAAAGAUUCAGUGUCUCUGCUCAGGAUGGCCAAAAGCAAGCCAAUUAGAAAUGGGAGAGACAGUUCCCCUUCCCUGGACUGGGAGAAGACAUAACUACUCAUUUGAGCACUGUCAGUCUUUCUGGCAUUCAAGAUAAGGUUCAAUCUUACAUGUGCAGCAAAAUGUAUUUUCUUCUGAUGGCAUUCUUCUGAUGAAUGCGUGAAUGGAUUCAAAUUACCAGCUCACUGUGUCCCCCUGUACAACUCCAACAGUGACAAAUGGCACUGUAAGGAUGUGGGAAAACCCCCCAGUGUUUCUUUAAAGUGCUUUAUUUUGAGACCAGUGAGUGCUGUGUAAACACUGGUGUGCUGCAAGCAAGCUGUGCUUGAAACAUGAAACUCCUCUCAGAAAGGUAAUUUGCUUCCUCUGGGUGCAUCACAGAAUUGCUAGCAGGAACCAGCUCAAAUUAAGCACAAUGUAGAAAAACCAGUCCCAUGUCCAUCCCCAACCCCCUGCCGUUCUUGGCUGUGUGUUCCCUGUCCCUCUCCACUGUGAAGAAGUCGGCACCUCCUCCUAAUUGACCCUUGCCUGGUUUCACACCUCCUGUGUCCAAAGGUGUGUCCAGACUUUGAACUCCUGUAACCUGGAAACAGUCUCCUUGCCCUGUCUGCCACUGAGAAUGUCUAUCCAAAGCAGUUACAGAACCUGCCCUUGGGUCCAGAACAGCCCAGGCUCCUCUCCUCAAUACAGCCACAGCUCCCAGGACUCAUCAGCUGUCUCACAAUGUAUUUGUAAAUCUCUGUGAAUCUCGUGUACAGUGAACUAGCAUUAGUGAAGCUAAUUUAUUUCUUAGAGGUUGCCAAAACAAAUGUUGCAACUCAGGCUUUCUCUGCCAUAGCAUUUUGGUAUGCAGGAUUGUGUUGGUUCUCUUCUAUGCACCGACACUCCUAUAAUGGGGUUUUGACCUCUAAAACUACCCAGGAGCUGUGGCACCUCCGUAGCCCAGCAGUUUUAUUCAUUGUCGUGUGCUCCAGAGCAGAUGUCUUCACUGCCUUUUUAUUUACAAGGACCUUGCAGAACCCCAUGUAUGAACAGAGACAUAGACAGUUCUCAGGACAAUGUUUUGCCAGGUACAGUAGGCCCAGGGCAAGAUACACAGAGAUGUUGCUCUAUACGCAGUGUGGACCCACAGCACUGCAAUAGUUUGGGCAGGGGAGAGAGAGUGUGGGUAUGGCCAAAGGUUUUCAGCCUCUGAUCCAACUCCAUGCUACCUGGCUUUUUGGGUGCUCUGUGAGCUGUUUGCCAGCAAUUUUUGCUCACCCAUUUGGGCCAGUCUGCAGUUCAAAGGACUUUCUCUUUUAUUUCCUUACUUUCAGGAUCUUUCCUGUGGGUGAAGCAGAAGUCCACAGCCUGCUGGGAGCAGUACAGCUCUGUAGCAGGCAGAUUUUGGGGGUCCUGACAGCAGUGCCUCCAGUCAGUCUGGCCUGUAGACAUCUGCACCAUCUUUGCUGGUAUGAGGUGUGCACUCAUUGCACGUGCAUAGUGACAGACCUGGGUGUCCCUCCUUCAGCCUGUCCAGGAUCUCACAGGAAAACAUUGAUUGGAUGGAGAGCAUGUGGGUGCAGGAGCACCUGCAGGAACAAGUGGCAGGAGCAGCCACAGGGUGUGCAGCCAUGGAUGGCAUCUGCAUUAGCUGACUACAGGUUCCAGCUGCUUUCCAGACCACUUCAACCCCCAGGAUGGUGUCAAAUAUUCAACCGCCUAAAGCAGGAUAUACUGC